GGGGCGAACGGCAAAGAGGUCACGUGCGGCGCGCUGUCGGCCCCCCGGUCCCCCGGUGUGUGGGAACUCGGAGCCAGAGCUCGGAUUUUGUGUGCAAGGAUUUGCCCCUGGCGGCUUUCCAGGGUCCGGGGCGCGCCCUAUCUGGGGAGGAGAGAGAGCAGAAAUGACCUGGCUCGAUUUCAGAGACAGGGAACACGUUCACGGAGAGAGAAGGCGCUAGUCCAGAUAGCAGACAGUGAGUGGCAACUGGCGAAUGGGAGCCCAGGUCCGACGCAAAUCCCUGUCCGUGCUGUCUACCCUAAAGCCUCAGCAUCCCACCCACCCUGCUUAGUUCUGGUGGGCUCGGCGGGAGGGAUGUGGCCUUCAGCAUCCCCUUAUUAGGCUACAUCUUGGCUGCAGGCUUUGGGCGCCGUGGGGUAGGACUCCUCGAAGGAAAUCAGUGAAUCAUUUACAGGUAAACUGAAAAGGCGAAAGAUAGGGGCAGUGGAGAAUCCAUUAAAUAGUAAACGUCCCCAUCCGGCGUUGCUUGCUUUUACGCAGCAACUCAGGAAAAAUGAAAGCGGAUUCAUUCCUCCUGGGUCCAUUCAUUACACAAAUAUUUCUCUUCGCUUUGAAAAUUGAUUCUGUGAUUCCAAAAUAUGCUUUCUGCUUGAGAAAGGACAGAACACCUGCUCAGGCGUGUCUAGAAAAGGGACUUUGAUCUGAGGAAUGAGAAUGAUUGGUCGGAAACGCCAGCUCCUGCGAAAAUGGCUACAGACAAAGCUUCACCGAGGUAGGCUGUACACCGUGAUUCUAAAAGCUCGGACUGGCGAUGGGCCCAGAUAGACCCCAAAAUGCAAGUUCUCUUCAGUUCAGUGAAGACUAAGAGGCCAUUACCAGUAUCCUACUGAGUUAAGAGCGACUUUAAUCUCCAUAAACUAAAAAUAGGAUGUCAGUAGAGUUGCCUGAAACCUAGGAUUUGGAACUCUAAAUAGUCUGGCAGCCACCAGAGUGCAUCUUCCCCAUGGUACUUACUCUUCGGACUCUAAUGCCAGCAGCUUUGGAAAAGACACCAUCAGUGCAAUCUUGAGGACCCCAGAAGACACCUCUUUUCAACUUUCUUUUUUUCCUCUCAGGCUGCUUGAGGGUCAACUGCCAUCAUAAUGGCACUGUAACUAUCUGGAUCAGGAAGUUCAUGACCAACAGACUACUUCAACGGAAACAAAUGGUCACCAACGUCCUUCACCCUAGAAAGGCAACGAUACCUAAGACAGAAAUUCGGGAAAAACUAGCCAAAAUAGCUGAUGACCAAACCAGAUGUCAUCUUUGUAUUUGGAUUCAGAAACCAUUUUGGUGGUGGCGAGACAAUUGGCUCUGUCAUAAUUUAUGGUUCCUUGGAUUAUGCAAAGAAAAUGAACCCAAAUAUAGACUUGCAAGACAUGGCCUUGAAAAGAAAAAGACCUCAAAAAAAAAAACACUGAAAGGAAUGCAAUAACAGAAUGACGAAAGUUAAAAGGCCAGUGUUGGUGCUGGGAAAAAGAAAGAGUAAAGAUUCAUCAGUGACUUUAUCUGUGGUGAUUGAGCAGAUUUUUCAUGAGAGGAUUAAUAAACUAAGAACUUAAAAAAAAAAAAGUGGGUUAAAUUCCAGCAAAAUGAGAAUGUCUGGUUAGCUUGGUGCCUGGCAGAAUGAUUUAGAUUUCACAGGUCCUGUGUCCAAGAAUGAUUAAUAACGAAUAAGAAUUUGGGAGGCCACUUAAGUCCUCAUUACAGAAAAUUCAAAACACUUCUUGUAACUGAAGAAACAUUAGCAGAAUGAAAGUGACCAGAAAGGAAGAAGAGGGCAAAAACCUGCACAAAAACAUCAAAGGGUCUUAAUAUGCAUUCUUAUUUUAAACUGUGACACCAAAGAAAAAAACAGUUCCAAUAGGAUGUUCUCUUAAUUUUCUGUAAAGUCAGUGAGGUUUCUGUAAAUUGGAAUUUUUACAAGAGGGGAUGGAUGAGGCUGGCUUCAGUGCCUACAAGAAAUUCUUUAGAUUUAGUUAUCUGUCCCUGAAAUGGUUGCUUAUUAAGAUGCACAUUAAAAACAUUUUUAUACAUAA